rnacentral:misc_RNA from 1 species
AAAUAGUUGCGUUAGGGAUUGUAGCAUUUGUUUGAGCUCUUUUGUGAAGUAUAAACAAAAAGCGAGUGCGUAAAGCCCGACCUAAA